rnacentral:snoRNA from 1 species
UUACAUGAUGAGGUAAUUUGCGAUUGAUUCUAUCCUGAUGGCGCUCUCGCCGGAGCUGCUAUAUCAGGUAGAAAGGUGAUAGUUAAUUCUUACAUAUUCUGAUA